AUAAAAUACUUGGGUAUGAAUCUCAGAAAACAUGUACAAGAUCCAUAUGAGAAAAACUACAAAACACUGAUGAAUAAAAUCAAAGAACUAAAUA